rnacentral:tRNA from 1 species
GGGGCUGUGGCUCAGUGGCAGAGCAUCGGCUUGGCAUGCAGAGAAGGUCUGAUCCCCAGCGUCUCUGGUUCAAUCCCCAGCACCUCCA